rnacentral:piRNA from 1 species
GCAUGGGAUAGUGAUUGUCAGAA